rnacentral:rRNA from 1 species
AUUGGACGCUGGCGGCAUGCCUUACACACGCAAGUCGAACGGUAACAGGUCUUCGGAUGCUGACGAGUGGCGAACGGGUGAGUAAUACAUCGGAACGUGCCUAGUAGUGGGGGAUAACUACUCGAAAGAGUGGCUAAUACCGCAUGAGAUCUACGGAUGAAAGCAGGGGAUCGCAAGACCUUGUGCUACUAGAGCGGCCGAUGGCAGAUUAGGUAGUUGGUGGGAUAAAAGCGUACCAAGCCGACGAUCUGUAGCUGGUCUGAGAGGACGAUCAACCCCACUGGGACUGAGACACGGCCCAGACUCCUACGGGAGGCAGCAGUGGGGAAUUUUAGACAAUGGGCGCAAGCCUGAUCCAGCAAUGCCGCGUGCAGGAUGAAGGCCUUCGGGUUGUAAACUGCUUUUGUACGGAACGAAAAGCCCUGGGUUAAUACCCUGGGGUCAUGACGGUACCGUAAGAAUAAGCACCGGCUAACUACGUGCCAGCAGCCGCGGUAAGAC